CCUACGGGAGACAGCUGUGAGGAAUAUUGGUCAAUGGGCGCGAGCCUGAACCAGCCACGUAGCGUGAAGGAUGACUGCCCUACGGGUUGUAAACUUCUUUUAUAAAGGCAUAACGUGAGGCACUUGCUCCUUUUUGUGUGUCCUCUAUGAAUAAGGAUCGGCUAACUCCGUUCCAGCAGCCGCGGUAAUACGGAGGAUCCGAGCGUUAUCCGGAUUUAUUGGGUUUAAAGGGAGCGUAGAUGGGUUUGUAAGUCAGUUGUGAAAGUUUGCGGCUAAACCGUCAAAUUGCAAUUGAUACUGGCAGUCUUGAGUACAGGUGAGGUAGGCGGAAUU
rnacentral:rRNA from 1 species